AUGGAGGCAUAUUCCACACCUAAGCCACAUUUACAAGGGACAAAAUUUGACACACUGGAGAGUGCACGUGACCACUACAGCAUCUACGCGCGCAAGACUGUCUUUGCAAUUAGGCAGCAAUUCAAGAAAGAGAGGGUGGAUGGAACUAUAAGCAGGGUGCUCAUAGUUUGUAAAAAAUAUGGCAAACGACGCAAGGACAGGGAUGAGCUACAAGAUGUGGAAAACCCAGCCAGCAUUGUGAAGAAGAGGAAAAAAAGAGUUGUUAGGACUGAAUGUGAAGCACACAUGUACCUAACCCACGAUGAUGCAUGGUGGACUGUUGGCCGUUUCGAGGACAACCACAAUCACCCCCUGAUCAAAAAACAGUCCCUAACAAAAUUCUUAGCUGCACAUCGGUACAUUCCGAAGGAGGAGCAGGACUUCUUGAGGGUUCUGGGAUGCAACAUUGAGACUGCGAGGCAGAUGCAGCUGAUGUCAUGGUUCUACGGAAGCGCUCAAGACGUACCUUACACGACACAAGACAUUGCUAAUCAAUGAGCUAAGUUCCGCUUAGAGCACCGCCACAAGGACAUUGGGAGCACAGUUGCGUACCUCCAAGAGAUGAGUGCCAAAGACUCAUAUUUCUACUGGAGAAUCAAACUUGAUGAUGAGGACAGGGUUGAAAACUUGACCGACAACGAACAUUUUCACUGGCUGUGGGAAAACAGGAAAUGUUGGGCCCCGGUGUACUACAUGAAGCAUUUCUUUCCGUUCUUGCAGACAACUGCAAGGAGCGAGGGAUUCAAUGUUGUGCUCAAGAAGUACGUGAACCCCAACAACUCAUUGAUUAAAUUCGCAACACAAUACACUGCAAUACAGGAGAAAGUAAUGGUGGCUGUGGCGAAAGAGCAAGUGGACACAAUUUACAAAGAGGCAGACAUGUAUUCAUUGAACCCAAUCGAGUUGCAGAUGCGAGGGAUAUACACACAAAAUCUGUUCUCCAAGUUCCAGGUAGAGAUGAAGCUAAAGACUGCUUAUGGAUGCGACACUUUGCAAGAUGGAACAUUCAGGAUGUGGUCGCUCCGAGGCAUACUACCAAAAUAUGGGGAUAGGGACUACCAUGUGCAAGCAAACAAGGAUGAAGGGGUAUAUUCAUGCACUUGCUGCAAGUUUGAUCGCGAUGGGCUGUUGUGCGCACACAUACUACGAGUAUUGGAACAGAUUAGAGUCUACGAGAUACCAAGGAGGUAUAUCCUAGAUAGGUGGACAUGGGACCCAGAGGAGGAUCUUGUUGAGCCUGAUUACCAACAGCCAAUAGUUAAAAAGGGUAUGACAGAGGAAGGAAAAAAUAUCAUGAGAUAUACAUCUAUUCUGAAUGAUUUCAAGGAACAAGCAAAAGACGCUUGCACUACUGAUGAAGGGAUGGCAUUGGCAAGGAAACACGUUGAUGCUUUCAUGGAUGACAUGGAUGCGCUAAAAAAGAGGCAGCUAAAGAAAGCAAGAAAGGAAAAAGAUGAGGGAAAGGAAGCACAAAUGUUUUCUUCACCACCAUGGACUAGGGCCACUGAAGGGGUCCCAGUAGCGCAUCAAGGAAGCGUUCCUGUCACGCAUGUGUCUGGCAAUAUUUUUCAGUUCCAGGGCUCACAUACAGAGGGAUCCCAAUCAUCGAACUCAAGAGUGAUACUAGACCCACCAAAGUCUACUAUGAAAGGGCCUCCAAAAGAGAAAGAUUUCAGCACCCAUUUGACAUUGCAAAACCAAAAAAAAGAGGAAAUGUAG
rnacentral:rRNA from 1 species